rnacentral:rRNA from 1 species
AAGAAACUAACAAGGAUUCCCCUAGUAACGGCGAGUGAAGCGGGAAGAGCUCAAAUUUGAAAUCUGGCAGUCUUCGAUUGUCCGAGUUGUAAUCUAUAGAGGCGUUUUCCGUGCCGGACCGUGUCCAAGUCUCCUGGAAAGGAGUAUCAAAGAGGGUGAUAAUCCCGUACUUAACACGACCACCGGUGCUCUGUGAUACGUCUUCUACGAGUCGAGUUGUUUGGGAAUGCAGCUCAAAAUGGGUGGUGAAUUCCAUCUAAAGCUAAAUAUUGGCGAGAGACCGAUAGCGAACAAGUACCGUGAGGGAAAGAUGAAAAGCACUUUGGAAAGAGAGUUAAACAGUACGUGAAAUUGUUGAAAGGGAAACGAUUGAAGUCAGUCGUGUUCUUUGGAUUCAGCCAGUUCUGCUGGUCUACUUCCUUGGAACGGGUCAACAUCAGUUUUGUCCGGUGGAUAAAGGUAGUAGGAAUGUGACUUCUCCGGAAGUGUUAUAGCCUAUUAUCACAUACACUGGGUGAGACUGAGGACUGCAGCUCGCCUUUAUGGCCGGCCUUCGGGCACGUUCGAGCUUAGGAUGUUGACAUAAUGGCUUUAAACGACCCGUCUUG